UUGGGUUUUAGGGCUCAUUGGAGAAGAGUUUGUUGUUGUGGGUUUUUACUUGUUGCUACAUUUUCAGUUUGUGUUUGCUAGACUUUAUGUGUAUGACUUUGGAUCUGCCCCUUGAUUUACGGUUUGUUUUGCCCCUGUUGUUGAUUGCUGGAUAAUAUAUGUUUCUUGUAUCUUGUAUGUAUAUUGUCCUGUAUAUUGUUUCAUACUGGGGGUAGGGAGUGGCUGCCAUUUUGUUUAGGUGUGGGUUUAUCUUUGUUCUAACAAUGUAGUCAAUGUAGUCAUAGUAAGUUUCUUUUUGUUAGCUUAGUCAGUCGUCGUUUUGUUUCUAGUGUGGUUUUGUUUGUGUUGGCCUUGGUCACUCCCGAUGCAAUUGCAGCAGUUUAUUGACUUUAAACACCAAAACCUUAAUACACUAGAUCCUUGCUGUCAACUUUGACUGGUUAUUCAUCCCAUUACUCAUUUCUACUGUUGUACUACUCAAAACCCCAUGUUACGGCCUCCCAGCCUAGACAGGGUUGUAACAAUAGUGUAAAUGUAAGGUUUGUCUUGCUCUUAUGCAUGAUGUUCUAAGCAACAGGAUAACCUACACUUUAACUGGGCCCAGGGUGGUAAAUCUUUCUCGACAUGGCAGCAACAUUGACAUGACAGUGUCUUGGUGAUGGCAGCUGUGCUGGUAUAUGAACAUCACGAUAGUCAGUGUUGCCUGUCUCCCUGCUGGGUUAAGACAGUCAGGACAGUAGUCCUAAGCUCAAAAACUGACCACUGGUAAAGAGAACUUCUCAUGGACAAACUGACUCACUGACUCACCUGGACGAAGGGAGGGGAAAUUAUGUUAAAAUGCUAUUUGUCGACUACAGUUCAGCAUU